rnacentral:rRNA from 1 species
AGUGAACGCUGGCGGUAGGCCUAACACAUGCAAGUCGAACGGCAGCACAGUAAGAGCUUGCUCUUACGGGUGGCGAGUGGCGGACGGGUGAGGAAUACAUCGGAAUCUACUUUUUCGUGGGGGAUAACGUAGGGAAACUUACGCUAAUACCGCAUACGACCUACGGGUGAAAGCAGGGGAUCUUCGGACCUUGCGCGAUUGAAUGAGCCGAUGUCGGAUUGGCUAGUUGGCGGGGUAAAGGCCCACCAAGGCGACGAUCCGUAGCUGGUCUGAGAGGAUGGUCGGCCACACUGGAACUGAGACACGGUCCAGACUCCUACGGGAGGCAGCAGUGGGGAAUAUUGGACAAUGGGCGCAAGCCUGAUCCAGCCAUACCGCGUGGGUGAAGAAGGCCUUCGGGUUGUAAAGCCCUUUUGUUGGGAAAGAAAAGCAGCAGGUUAAUACCCCGCUGUUCUGACGGUACCCAAAGAAUAAGCACCGGCUAACUUCGUG